rnacentral:lncRNA from 1 species
GAGAAAUUGUCCUGAACAGCAUUCUAUGUUCUAGUCUCCCUGCUAGAAACAGGAUGUCCUUCAUGCCUUAUCCCAGAGUUUCCUGGGACCCUGGUAUAUAAGACCCAGGAUUGCUGUUUUCUAGAGUCCUCCAGGGUCAGUGCAAGGGGGACACAUGCAGAUAAAAUUCCGUCUAACCCAGGCAGCUUUUCUGAGCCUCAGGGAACCAGCUCACAGUGAAUCCCAAGUUUCUGUUACUCCUUGCCGCCCAUCUAUAAACUGACUUCAUGGAUGUUCGGAUGUGUGUGCGGAUGUUCUGACUCAUUGGACUCGGACAAGUUGGACCCUGUUCUGCAGGUCUGCUGGAGUUUGCAGGAGGUCCACUCCAGACCCUGUUUGCCUGGAUAUCACCAGUGGAGGUAGCAUAACAGCAAAGAUUGCUGCCUGCUUCUUCCUCUGGAAGCUUCUUCCCAGAAGGACACCUGCCAGAUGUCAGCUGGAGCUCUCCUGUAUGAGAGAAAAAAACCCAUGUGAGAACACAAAGAGAAGACAGCCAUCCACAAGCCAAGGAAUGAAGCGUCAAAAGAAUCUAUACUUGUCAACAUCAUGAUCUUGGGCCCUCAGCCUCUGAACUAUGAGAAAAUAAAUCUCUGCUGUUUAA